UAGGAAGGACUGGGUGUAUUGAUACACCAGUAGUGUAAUUAAUAACUUCACCAUGAUCGAACGGAUAGCCAAUGUCUGUUUUUUAUAUUUUUACCCAUCUACCAAUAGGUAACCUUCUUUGCAAAGCAUUGGAAAACCUCCCUGGUUAUUGUGGGUGAAUUUGUGUUUGAAAUUCACUGCUCAACUGAGGAACCUUACAGAUAAUUGUAUGUGUGGGGUACAGAGAUUAAUAGCCAUUAAAAAAUCUUGUUAAACACUAUUUUUGCACACAUACAAUUGAAUCCAUGCAAUUAUGCAAAUAUUUACUCCUGAACUUAUUUAGACUUGCCGUAACAAAGGGGUUUGAAUACUUAUUGACUCAAGGCAUUUAAAUUUAAAAUUUUAAAUUAAUGUGUAAAAAAAAAUCUAAAAACAUAAUUCCACUUUGACAUUCUGGGCUAUUGUGAUGUCAUGAUGGGAUAUUGUGAUGUCAUGAUGGGAUAUUGUGAUGUCAUGAUGGGGUAUUGUGAUGUCAUGAUGGGAUAUUGUGAUGUCAUGAUGGGGUAUUGUGAUGUCAUGAUGGGAUAUUGUGAUGCCAUGAUGGGAUAUUGUGAUGCCAUGAUGGGGUAUUGUGAUGCCAUGAUGGGGUAUUGUGAUGUCAUGAUGGGAUAUUGUGAUGUCAUGAUGGGAUAUUGUGAUGUCAUGAUGGGAUAUUGUAAUGUCAUGAUGGGAUAUUGUAAUGCCAUGAUGGGGUAUUGUGAUGCCAUGAUGGGGUAUUGUGAUGUCAUGAUGGGAUAUUGUGAUAUCAUGAUGGGAUAUUGUGAUAUCAUGAUGGGAUAUUGUGAUGUCAUGAUGGGAUAUUGUGAUGUCAUGAUGGGGAAUUGUAUUUAGGCCAGUGACAAAAAAAAUCUCAAUUGAAUCCAUUUUUAAAUUCAGGCUGUAACACAACAAAAUGUGGAAAAUAUCAAGGGGUGUGAAUACUUUAAAGGCAUUGUACAUAUAUCACAGACGUAUAUUAUAGACUUACAUAUUACAGAUUGACAUAUUAUAGACAUGCAUAUUACAGAUUUAUAUAUUAUAGAUUUACAUAUUAAGGCCUUUUCGCACGGGACUGGUAUUACUAUAGACUGUCGGUUAUGUAAUUAUUACCACAUGUCAGGGACGAUUCGGACAGGAUUAGUUUUACAAAAUAUAUUUUUUUCACUUGUUCACAAUGUACCAUUAUGAAAGAAGCCCUGGAGGCUCUUCUAGGCGUGAAGAUAUUUCAUAUGUCUAGGAAGAGUCCAAUAUUGACCUAAUGGCCUCCAGUUUGGAGAACGUUAUAAUCCAUAUCAAUAAGAACCAUGAACUGUAACCUACGCAGAUAUUUAAUGACGGAUUUGGCAGUUUCUCUAUUCAUUUGACAAUAUCGGUCAAUUGUGAAUGAGGUAAAUAUAUAUAUAUAUAUUACAGGGGCAGUUUGGUAAAACUAAUCCGGUCCGAAUCGUCCACUGGAAAAACGGACCUGCUGGGGUGAUAAUUACAUAACGGACGUUCUAUGGUAAUACUAGUCCCGUGUGAAUAGAGCUGUACUGUACGUUAAGACACUGUAGUGUUUUACACAGUGAUAUAAAUAUGAAAAAAGACAAAACGCAGUCCUCACUAGUAGACAUUGACACACACACACACACACACACACACACACAGACACAGAUACAGAGAUAGACACACAAACACACGUACACUGAACAUAAAAUAAUCAUUUGCACAACAUCUAUGCGAAAUGCCUAAAGUUGUAUAUGAAUAUAUAUAUAUAUAUUUCAUUGCGUUAAUAGUUGCAAGUUGCCAGGAUGCAGCGGCAUUAGUCGGUUUAGUAGCUAUACUUAAUACCCAAAAGAACAUGUUUUACAUAUUGUAUUAUUUGAGUGUGAUUUUUGUUGUACUGCAGCUUUGCUUUAAAACAGAAGAUGUGUGCUUGGCUGGUCAACCAACCCCCCCCCCCCCCCCUGCCCCUUCAUAGUUACCUAUGACCCUUUGUAGUGACCAUUUCAUAAUUACCACCCUAACAUGCUAGCUAGAUAGCCUGGAAGAAAAGGUUGGAACAUAACAGGGUCUUGUUGCCGCGGCAACCUUCAAAUCCUCCCAGGCUGGUGGGACUGCUUUCAUUUUUAAUUUACUUUAUUUAAACAAAAAAUUCAGAUGUUACCGUAGAAACCAGUUACCAGCAGAUCAUGUCUAAAUUUUAACUGCGUUCCUGUACGUUUUAAAGAUGAAAUACCUUAUUUUAAAGAUGAAAUAGCCUAUUUUAAAGAUGAAAUACCCUAUUUGAAUGUUUUUAUAAUGUCAUAUGUACUGUAAACACUGUCCUCGUCGGAGGUAUGAUGUCAUGUGUGAGUCACCCUGGACCCAGAGCCUGAGGCAUAGAGCGCACACCAGUCAUUCUGUCUGAACUACGUUAUUUAAUCGACUAUUUGACAUUUAAAUCGAGUACAUGGGCUUUUUUCUCAUUUCAGAAUAAUAUAUAUAUAUAUAUUUUUUUUACUAAUGAUACGAAGGAACCCUUUUUAUCAGCUCCAGUAUUCUGAACCGUCACUUAAAAUAAAUCAAUUUGACUAUUUGCAGCAGCAAUUUAAUCAUAAUCAAACAGUUUCCUUUCUCUGGGAAACUGCACAUUCUUUUGUGCUGCAAGUAUAGUAUAUGAGGUGUGUGUGUGUGUGUUGGUUAGGAUAGCUUAACAGGGUGAGUUACACCAAACGCAGUCUGUGCACCCCCUCCCUGGGUGAAUGUUUUGUUUUUUUGCCCAAGCACUGAACAGCUGAUUCAAAUAAUCAAUGCUUGAUGAUAAGUUGGCUAAUUGAAUCCGCUGUGUAGUGCUAGGGGCAAAAACCAAAGGACUGAGUUUGGGAAACACUGAGUUACACCAUGCCAAAACACACACACACACACACACACACCGCCUUUAUAAAAGCCCCCUAUUCCAGCAAACCCCCCCAGUAUUCAGAUGUCACACACACACACACACACACACACACGCACUCUCAGAGCCAAUGCUGGAGGUUCCCUAAACUAAUUGUCAUCUCUCCCUCCACUUCACAUAUGUACCCAGUCAGGGUGACUCUGUGGGUGUUUCUCAAUAUGCAUACUAGCGUGCUCCGAGCCCUGGAGGGUCAGAGUCGGAGUCCAAAUCAAAGUAUGUGAAGCGGACGACGAAUGGCACUUCUCUAAUGCGUACUCCAUUUGUACAUAUAUUUUGAAGCAUUCAUCGAUGCAAGCUUCGACGGAAAGUAUCCAAGAAAAUAUGACGCAAACCACGUAAAAAAAAAAAUGAAGCAACAUUUCUUGAAAUCGAUGGCGGACAUUAUUUGAGCUAAAGCGAGAGACUCGACUUCCGAAUAUAAUGUUGCCUGACUACAAUAUUAUAUCUUAAUAAAUCAGUAAAUGCAUGCUGUAUUAAUCUUGCCGUGUUUACCUGCCUACAUACCGUAGAUCGCUAGUCCAUAAUAAGUCAAUAGGGCUAACAGGCUAGCUACUAGUACUGUUAGCUAGCCAGAUAGCCACAAAGAAUUGUUAGUUAGCUAACCCACGAAGAGUUGACAUCUCCGACGCUCCGCCGUUUUAGGUCAUUGUUUUGCCUGUUAAACUAUCUGGUUAGCUACAUUAUUACGAUUCACAUAUGUAGCUGAAAGUUAUGAACUAAAAUGUUUGCUUUGUGUAUGUAUAUCUUGUUUUGUCUGUUGUUGCCAUUGUCCUGGCUGGAAGAAGGGUCAGUGGAUGGGGAGGUGCAGCGUGAGGUAAUACAGUGAGUGCUUCUCAAACGGAAUGUUUUUUUUUUACAUUCUCCACACUUUGUCCUCACAAGAACGUACUCAAGAGAACGUGGUCGGAGAAUGCACUCUGAGCAUGAGAGUGGAGAACGGUAGUAUGCAUAUUGAGAAACACCCUGUCUGUUUGCAUAUUGAGAAACACCCUGUCUGUUCGUUCCAGAUUUCCUGUUGUCUGUUCGUUUCAGAUUUCCUGUUGUCUGUUCAUUCCAGUGAAGUGAUAAGUUUUGGAAGUGGAUGAACAGUAUAGUAGUCCCCACACCGUCCCCCAUCCACCUCUGUCAAAACUAUAGUAGUCCACACUGAUAUCAGGAGUGACAUUAAGGAGGGGUGAUAGGUCUGAUAUCAGGGUGAUGGGUCUGAUAUCAGGGUAAUAGGUCUGAUAUCAGGGUGAUAGGUCUGAUAUCAGGGUAAUAGGUCUGAUAUCAGGGUGAUAGGUCUGAUAUCAGGGUGAUAGGUCUGAUAUCAGGGUGAUAGGUCUGAUAUCCGGGUGAUAGGUCUGAUAUCAGGGUGAUAGGUCUGAUAUCAGGGUGAUAGGUCUGAUAGCAGGAGUGAUAGGUCUGAUAUCAGGGGGAUAGGUCUGAUAUCAGGAGUGAUAGGUCUGAUAUCAGGGUGAUAUUAGGGAUGGGGGUGAUAGGUCUGAUAGCAGGAGUGAUAGGUCUGAUAUCAGGGUGAUAUUAGGGAUGGGGGUGAUAGGUCUGAUAUCAGGAGUGAUAGGUCUGAUAUCAGGGGGAUAGGUCUGAUAUCAGGGUGAUAUUAGGGAUGGGGGUGAUAGGUCUGAUAGCAGGAGUGAUAGGUCUGAUAUCAGGGUGAUAUGUCUGAUAUCAGGGUGAUAUUAGGGAUGGGGGUGAUAGGUCUGAUAUCAGGGUGAUAGGUCUGAUAUCAGGGUGAUAUGUCUGAUAUCAGGAGUGAUAUUAGGGAUUGGGAUGAUAGGUCUGAUAUCAGGGUGAUAGGUCUGAUAUCAGGGUGAUGGGUCUGAUAUCAGGGUGAUAGGUCUGAUAUCAGGAGUGAUAGGUCUGAUAUCAGGGUGAUAGGUCUGAUAUCAGGGGCUAAUAUGGAGGUACCUGUAGCUCAUACAAGACAUGGAGGCAUAGAGUUGGAUAAAGGGCACAUAUCAAUGUCUCUGCCCAUGUUAAAACAGGGUUUGGUGGAAAGUAAGCCCUCUGUCCAACUCUGGUUUAUAUCGAGGUUUUUUCAGUUGUAUUGGUCAUCACCAGCAUUUUUAUCAGAGUCACCUGACUUGUAAAUGAAGAAAUUAAUGAAAGUGUGGCUUUGUUUUUCAAAUCUGAACAAACCCCCAAAUGCGAGGAGUUGCUGUUAUUUUAUUUUGUAUUUUUCUUUCUUUGUGCUGUGUUAUUUCUCAUGAAAACAUCUAUUCUUAAGUGGCCAUUUGCCUUGUAAAGUAGUGUUUUACUGUGUGAUGGAUACAGUAAUUUCUAAGUACUGUGGAAUUUACAUCGUAACCAUAUUGUAGAGUACCUCAACAAAAAAAAAAUAUAUAUAUACAAACUUGUUGCCAAAUAAUGCCAAUGAAAAGACAACUAUAAUUAUUAUUAUUAUUAUUAACCAUGAAUUAUCAAGUGCAAGUAAGACAAAAUAACCUGAAGUGUCUAGAGGAGAGUUGCUAACGUCUCAUUGCCCUCAUGUUUUUUCUUCUUCUUCUUCUCUUGUAGUAGUGUUAGUUAUCCUGAAGCCUCUAACACUGCUGUGUUAACACUACAUGUAUGGCUGCGAUGUAAUAAUGAAGAGAAUAAAUAGACUAUAUUUUUCUACCAUCAGAGUGAAGCACUCCCCAUACACCGUAAGGGUGGCGGGAACGCGCUGGGAACCAAUGGGUCUGAGGCUAUGACGCUGUCGCCUGUAACCUAGGUAACAAAGGUUAAGACAACGUAAACAUUUCAAUGUGAAACGUGUAAUAAAAUAAGUUCAUUCAUCAGCACCGUUGAUGAUUCUACAGGAUUAGCGGUCGGGAAAAUCAAGUAAAGACUGUUGAUCAUUUGAAAAAUGUUAAAAAUGAAUAGAAUAACAGUAAAACAGUUUUUAAAAAAAAUAUAUAUAUAUAUAUAUAUAUAUAUAUAUAUAUAAAAAUGUACAGUUUAUCCGAUGUGUUGGCUGAGUAGUUAGCUGAAAUUCACUACGAUUGUGUUUAUUUUUCCACUUUUGAUGGCAAACUUUCUCUAUAGGCUACUGCGAACAUUAACUUUGUCAUUUUUUUUGCUCACAUUGCUAGUCCCAUCGUUUAGACUUGUUCCGUAUUUAUACAAAGACUUACUGAAUAUUAGCAUCCUAUUGUCUUAACCUUUGUUAUUUUAAACCUAACCUGUAACCAGGAAGUGGUCGUCACGUUGCCAACGUCGACACGGGAAAACAAUCUCCUCCGUCGCAACGCGAUUGGCCACGGUUUUACUGUAACCCAGCGUGCUCUCUCCUUACGGUAGAUGGCGUGUCCGUUUGCCGAUAUAGAUGGAGACUUUUAAAUUACCAUUUUUAUUUUAGAUAAAAACACUUUGUAAUUUUGUUUCCCGCUUUGAUGAGCGGCCAGACUGGGCUCACUUGUUGAAAAGUAGGAAAUGGAAACAGAAAGCCUAUAUAUUACACUGUUUUUUUUACCAUCCAUGUCUGGCCCAUAAGUUAACAGCAGGCCUGAAAUCAGUAUCACUAAGGACAGAGCUUAGACUGGUAACACUUAAGGGCUGGUCUCAAAUCAGCUCUUCUCAGAAUAGGUCUGUAGACGGGAGAUUAUCUGAAAUGGGUUUUUGCCGGAGGCGAAUUCCGCUUUAGCAGCUCAUGUUCCUUUUCCUUUGACAAACACUGAGUUGAUCUGGGGGCUAUGAAGGCUUAUUCCUGCCAACAUUUUUGGCAUUAAUCUCCUUCCAUAGAUUGAGUCCCUUUGGAACACACUUGGUCAUUCUUAUUUUCAUGCAUUCUCAGUCCUGAUAGGCUGACAGGGGAUGCACCGUUCAAGGUAGAGAGGGACCGCAUUUUAAUCAAUCAAUAUUAGCUACCGAUCAUCAAUCAAAACAAUAACCAAUGGCUGAUGUAGUUGCCAAUUGGGAGUUGGUGAUAGUUUGUUACCCACAGGAGGUUGGUGGCACCUUAAUUGGGGAGGACGGGCUAGUGGUAAUGACUGGAGCGGAAUAAGUGGAAUGGUAUCAAAUACAUCAAACACGUGGUUUCCAGGUGUUUGAUCCAUUCCAGACAUUGUGUUGUUACCAUGCCGAUGUGUGAUAGCAGACAGCCAACCCCUCUCAGGUGUUCUGCGGGAACGGAACAGAAUGUGACAAAGGGUUUAUUUUCUGAAUGUAAUAUUAGAUCAAGCUGCUUGUUGUGAAGGUGUGACUGCACCGCUGUCUGUCUCCCUCUCUGUAGAGACACUGUUCUUCUCAGGGUGGAUGGCUGUAAUGGUAUUGUCUCCCCACAGGGUGGCGCUGUUGCUUUAGCCCAGAAAGACAGACUGAAUCACGCUACGUUUUAGAAUUGUUUCACUACUGUAAUAAAGGGAGCUGAAUUCAGGUUGGAUUUCCAGGCGAGCACUGCUGCUGCUCCCGAGGAUAAAACGGUUCCAGUCCUCAUUUUGUCCACUAGGUAGCGCUAGCUGUCUCUACUGAGGGUGCAGACAGGGCUUUUGUCCACUAGGUAGCGCUAGCUGUCUCUACUGAGGGUGCAGACAGGGCUUUUGUCCACUAGGUAGCGCUAGCUGUCUACUGCUCGAUGUCGUCUUUAUACUGCUUCACUGUUUAACCCGUUUGAUAAUCUGUCCCUCCUCCAAGCCUGAGCUUCAGCUAAGACUAAAGCUCUUCUGACUUGCAUAAUAAUUGUACCGUAAAGUUUUUAGUUUAAAUGUUGUUUUUUUUGUGGAAAAAAAAAAAAAUGUGUCUGCAUUUAAAAACAAAAUGAAAUUACGGGAAUUAAAAUUACAAAGCAAACCAAACAGCAUGUUGUGGGUGUGGUUAUUGUCUGUUGUAGGUGUGGUCUGAGCUAAGAGGGUGUGGCAUAGUAUUCAAUUGGUAUUUUAUUUAAACCAUUAUAAAAGCUCAGCGAUAUGGAUAUAAACCGAUAUAAACGGUGGAACGACUACGUUUGUUGUCACACAACGAUCACACGCCAUCUUUAUGGCACGUCCAUAACUGCACUGACCGAGGUAAGGUCUACUACCAACAAUUGAUUGUAUAUUUUUCGACAACAUCUGUAGUUCCAUCACUUUUCAUGGUCGCGUCAUAUCACAGAGUCCCCCAGCUGUAUCAGUUCGGGUUUGGCCGGGAUAGACCGUCAUUUUACAUAACAAUUUGUUCUUAACUGACUUGCCUUGUUUAAAAUAAAGGGUUUUAAUUGAAA